rnacentral:tRNA from 1 species
GCCCGGGUGGCUCAGUCGGUUGAGCGUCUGACUUUGGCUCAGGUCAUGAUCUCGCAGUCUGUGAGUUCGAGCCCCGCGUCGGGCU